rnacentral:rRNA from 1 species
UACGGGGGGGGGCAAGCGUUGUUCGGAAUUACUGGGCGUAAAGGGCUCGUAGGCGGCCAACUAAGUCGGAUGUGAAAUCCCCAGGCUUAACCUGGGAACUGCAUCCGAUACUGGAUGGCUUGAAUCCGGGAGAGGGAUGCAGAAUUCCAGGUGUAGCGGUGAAAUGCGUAGAUAUCUGCAGGAACACCCGUGGCGAAAGCGGCGCGCUGGACCACUACUGACGCUGAGGAACGAAAGCUAGGGAGCAAACAGG